rnacentral:rRNA from 1 species
UACAGCGGUCCCAAGCGUUGUUCGGAUUCACUGGGCGUAAAGGGUGCGUAGGCGGUCGGGUAAGUCUGAUGUGAAAUCUCACAGCUUAACUGUGAAACUGCAUUGGAUACUAUCCGGCUCGAGGAAUGGAGGGGAGACUGGAAUACUUGGUGUAGCAGUGAAAUGCGUAGAUAUCAAGUGGAACACCAGUGGCGAAGGCGAGUCUCUGGACAUUUCCUGACGCUGAGGCACGAAAGCCAGGGGAGCAAACGGG